ACUCCUACGGGAGGCAGCAGUGGGGAAUAUUGCACAAUGGGCGCAAGCCUGAUGCAGCCAUGCCGCGUGUAUGAAGAAGGCCUUCGGUUGUAAAGUACUUUCAGCAGUGAGGAAGGUGGGUAUGUUAAUAGCAUAUUCAUUUGACGUUAGCUGCAGAAGAAGCACCGGCUAACUCCGUGCCAGCAGCCGCGGUAAUACGGAGGGUGCGAGCGUUAAUCGGAAUUACUGGGCGUAAAGCGCAUGCAGGUGGUUUGUUAAGUCAGAUGUGAAAGCCCGGGGCUCAACCUCGGAAUUGCAUUUGAAACUGGCAAACUAGAGUACUGUAGAGGGGGUAGAAUUUCAGGUGUAGCGGUGAAAUGCGUAGAGAUCUGAAGGAAUACCGGUGGCGAAGGCGGCCCCCUGGGAACCAGAUACUGACACUCAGAUGCGAAAGCGUGGGGAGCAAACAGGAUUAGAU
rnacentral:rRNA from 1 species